CUGGAAUCGCUAGUAAUCGCGGAUCAGAAUGCCGCGGUGAAUACGUUCCCGGGUCCUGUACACACCGCCCGUCACACCAUGGGAGUCGGAAAUGCCCGAAGUCUGUGACCCAACCUACGGGAGGGAGCAGCCGAAGGCAGGUCGGAUGACUGGGGUGAAGUCGUAACAAGGUAUC
rnacentral:rRNA from 1 species